UCAGAGUUCACUGUACUAGAACAUUUAAACGAGUUUGGUUUAUCGGGUUGAAAUUUGGGUAAUCAUCACUUUACCAGUCUAACUCACAUGAUGAUUUUACUGUGAGCACCACCCUGUUAACUGAGACUCAAAGUUUAGAAUGAAAGUAUGCACUGCAAUGGUUUUCUAUAUCACUUACCUGAAAGAUAGAUGCUAAAGAAUAUCCAAUAGGAAAUUGCACUUUUCUCCUGCUAAAUAUGUAAAACAUACGUAUUUACUUGUUAACUCCCAGCUCAUAAAACCAGAUGACAGUAUCAGCCCUCUAGAUACUAUUCACUGUUAUUGGCCCUGGCGCCUCUAUCUUCACCAUCCUUUGGUCCUGUCCCAUCCAUGUCGUUCACCUUCAUUAUCACAAGAGUGCUGUAUUUUUUUUUUCCACUAUGAGAGAAACUAGUUUAUUCAUUUGGAAAAUGCGAAGCCUUGCCACUUGUUUUCAUCAGUGAAGGCGGCAUCAGAACCACAUCUGCCAUAUUGUAACAGCUCUCAGGCUGGUAGCCAGUGUAGUGAUCAAACAUCUGUGAAAUAAAAUGUUCGCAAAAGUGCUCUACACUGAAACUGUUAGACUGCCCUUAGAGGUCCUUUAAAAAUCUCAUCCGUUGCUUUAAAUUAAAGAAAUGAGCAGGACAGAAGAGAAACGAAAGGGGAUAAAAGACUACAGAAGAGCUGAAGGCAUCUUAUCUGGUGAGUCUUCAUUAUUUUGUGUUCACAUUAUGAAAUUUCAUGCCUGUUAGCUCCGUGAAAGCCAGUUAUUAACUUACAAUAUCUUGUUUUUAGGGAACUGCCCUGGUGUUUCAAAAUCUGGCAGGUCUCAGGUACCUCUGUCUUACUUCCAGAUUCCUGCAGAAGCUCAUUUUGUUUGUUUUACAUCAUGAUUGGGGAUUUCAUUAAGUGCCUGACUGUGCUCUGUGUCUCACUGAUCUAAGAGCUUUCUCUGACACCAAGGACAGACAUUGCCCAUCCUCCAGAAGACUGACAUUUAAGUCAGAUAACUUUGAAGCCAACAGAUAGAAAGAAAGCUGAACAACAGAGCCAGUAUGAACGAGGACAGAGAUAAUUUCUAUUGUGGUACAAAAAUCUUCAGGGGUUCCAAGGCUUCAAGCUUAGCAUUUGUUAUUUCUAGUAACUAGAACCAACAGAGAUGCUGGUGACAGUUGUGUGGACUUCCUUUACUGAUUUUAUGUCCCGGAAACAUACUAUCCCAUGUUAAAAGGCUGGAAGUCCAAAGAAUUCUUACCUUUAUUCCCUAACAUGCUUAACUCGAGCAUACUUGUGUAUUUCCUACCUAACCUUCCCGACCAAAGUCACAUGAAAUGUCUUCACUUUUCUCACUCCUAAUUUUAUAAAUAAAAAAUAUUUUUAUUUUAUAUGUAAAUACUCCUGGGUCUCCAGUCUCCAGUUUCUGUUAAUGAUGGAAUAGCUUAUCAUCCACAGGUAAUAAUGAUGGAAUCUGGGCAAUCAGAAAGUACUGUAGAGUAACAAGAAACAGGCAGAAACUGAAUAAAUCUAACCUUGAAAGACAGUGGGUAACAUUUGUCUAUGGGUUUUUGCCUGAGGACAUUCUUCAAUCUAGGAUUAAGAACACAAACUGAAGGUAUUGAAAGAUGGAAUUUGAAGUCAACAGAACAACCAGAAAAUCAGAGGGAAAAAUCCAGUUUAAAAAAAGAAAGUUACUAUCCAUGUAAAAAAUAGGAAAAAGUGAUACUUACUCAAGGGAAAAAAAUUGUCAAUAGAAACAGACCCUGUUACAAAUAUGCUCAAGGACUUAAUGAACAACACACAAAGUCUUCACGUGGGGAAUUUCAUCUUAGAAAUAGAACCUAAAGAUCAAAUGGGAGUUCCAAAGCUGAAAAGCAUAAAUAACUGGAAUGGAGAAUUUACUGUUUGGGCUUAAUAUCAGAUUGAAGACAACAGAAGAAAGAGUCAAUAAACUAAAAGAUCAAUAGAGAUUAUCCAAUCUGAAGAACAGGAAGGAAAAAUUAGAGAAAACACAUAUUUUAGAUGAAGACAGGAAGUAAAAGUAGGGCAGAAUUGAAGUGAAUGUUUAGUACUAAUAAAUUCUAGCAAUUCUGCAAAGAAAAAAAAUUGAAAAAUUAACAAAACUUGGAUUUUGAAUGUCUAGUUCUUAUAGUGUUUCUUCCAAGAGUGAAAGGGAACAUAGCUGGUUUCAGAACUGGGUUUUUGUUGGCUUUCAUAAUUUCUCUCACGUGGCUGUAAGUUUCCUAGCGUUCUGUCCUUUUCCUCUUUUUUCGUUUCGCUCCUUCCAGCAUGAAUGGCCUUUCCCUUCUGUGUGCUGUAUUCAGGAGCUAGUUUAUUAUGAAAGACAACUUCUAACCGUGGACUGAGGCAAAAGAUGCACGUGAUGAGUCAUCGUGUACUGAUCCAUAAUUCAUUGGUUUGCAUUUUGAUGCAUUCUCCUUUGUAUUUCACUUUAACUAUAAUUUUUGAGAUCUUGCUAAUUCAAAUCAUAGUGAAUCAUUUAGUUAUUUUUAGGCACCAGUCUUCCUUAAGAAUCUGUGGAUACAAAAUACCAAAUAAUAUUUCAAAAUAAGUGAAUUUUAAUUCUUGAUCGCUCUAGACACAAGUCUGUCUCGUUUGGU